rnacentral:tRNA from 2 species
GCGGGAAUAGCUCAGUGGUAGAGCAGUUCGUUGCCAACGAACAGGUCGGGAGUUCGAGCCUCCUUUCCCGCUCCA